GGUGCGAUGGCCGAGUGGUUAGGCAGAGGUCUGCAAAACCUCGAACAGCGGUUCAAUUCCGCUUCGCACCUCCA
rnacentral:tRNA from 3 species